CGGGCGAGAUCGAGAUCGCCGCCGCCGAGGGCGCCUCGUGCUUGGGGUCGAGCGCGUCGAUGCGGAAGGGGGAGCCGAGGAACCAGGGGGAGGCGGCGCGGGUCUCGAGGACGCGCGAGAAGACCGGGGCGCCCCGGUGGUAGAGGUCGACGGCGGAGAUGAGGCCGCGGAGGGGCCGGGGAGGGACCCCCCGGGGCGGCGACUGCCCCUGCGCCUGCGCCUGCGCGCGGCACCGGGGGAAGGGGAACGCGUCGGAGAAGAGGGACUGGGGCGGGGGGAGGGGGAGGGGGAGGGGGAGGAGGCGGAGGGAGGGCCACGUGGCGAGGCAGAGGUCGCGCCAAAUGGCGGGGUCGCCGGAGAGGCCGCGGAGGCGCGCGCUGGCGCAGCUGGCCGCGGCGAGCGAGGGCCCGUCGAGGCGGCGGAGGACGAGGGCGAGCACGUCCUCGUGGAGGUCCUCGAUGGUGGCCGCCAUCGCCAUGGCAGCGGUGCUCGAGCUCGGAUCUCACAGCAAAGGCGCUCUUCGAAGGGACCGACCAGGAAUUAAUGGCGAUGGAGAAGGAGAAGGAGAAGAGCGAGGAAGCGGUGGAAGGAGCAUUGGAAUUCAAUUUGAAAAUUGAGCCCUUCGCCUUCGGAGUUCGGACACAUAUAUUCCUAUUAUAUAUUUACAUUUACACACGAGUAAGUAAGUAUUAAGUAAUGAGAGCCCGUGGAUGGUCGAAAUUACAAAAACGCCACUCCGUUGAAUUGGGAUUUGUUCGUGACAAGUUCCCCGCGUGUCGGGCACGCCAGUUGGUGGUGUGAACGGAGUACGUGUUAGCGUCCGUUGCCGACUCGUGAGCUAUUUAUUAUCAGUUCUGUUAUACGUCCAGAGGACAGAGGGAAAUACCCUGUGUAUCUUUUAUAUAUAUAUCUUUUAUUAUUAUAGUAGAGUGCUAAUAUACGGACAAAUAAAUUAGAGAAAAAAAAUUAAAACUUCUUAGAUAAAUUUAUGUUGCGCUCCCAAGAGCACGCAUGAUGAGCCAAUAAUUUUCUUUUUAUAUUAUAUACGUCUUCCAGGCAUCACAUGCUCAUUACUAGAAUAAUAUUUUGAGAGAUUCAUAACAGUAUAUACUUCUAGAUGAAUGAAUAAGUUUACGUGGUGCACUCCUCACUUUUAAAUAUGUAGCUAUGGAGGCUUUUCGUGUUAAUUAAGAGCACUUAUUAGGUGGAUUGCUAACUUCUCGGAGGUGCUAAUUUGAUUUGAGCAGAUAAUGGGGCACAGGCGCCUAACCAUGAUUAUGCAUUUAUUGAGCUCGAAAAAUAUAUUUUUAUUUAUGCUUUUUUCUUCCCUUGAUGUUCAUAAAGAUUUCUAAUUCUAUUCAAUUAUAGAUUUCUAAUUCUAUUCAAUUACGCCACGAGUCUUUUCNAUUUUAUUUAUAAAUAUAUAAUAAUUUAUUUUAUAAUAUUAAAUAUAUAUUAUUAUUAUAUAUUAUAUUAUAUAUUUAUUAUAUAAUAUAUUUUAAAUAUAUCUUGUUUAUAAAUAUAAAUUAUAAUAAUUAAAUCUAUUAUGAUAAUUAUUAUAUAUUAAUAAUAUAUAAUAAUAUAUAUAAUAGGAGAAAAUAUAUAUAAUAAUUUUUCAUAUAUAGCAUAAUAAUAAUUGUUAUAUAUUAAUAAUAUAUAUAAUAAAAAAUAUAGUAAAUAGUUUUUUUUUUCUUUCAACCAAACAACUGUCACGGAAAACUUUUUUUUUUUCCUACAAACCAAAUACAAACGACGUAAAACUUUUUUUCCUAUCGAAAAUUUUUUUUCCACAGUUUUAUGUGGAACCAAACACAACCCCCGCUGUUUGGUUUGACGUAAAACUGCGAAAAAAAAUUUUCGGCGGAAAAUUAUUUUUACGUAGUGUAGUGUUUGGUUUGUAGGAAAAGAAAAAAUAGUUUUCGAUGAUGACUGUUUGGUUGAAAGAAAAAAAAAAGAUAAAAACUUAUGUAAUAUAAUUUUUAUUAUAUAUAUUAUUAUUAUAUAAUAAUUAAUAUACUAUAUAUAUUAUUAUAAUUUUUAUNUCGACUGGGACUCGACCUAGCACUAGCUGGGCCGAGCGCCCGCGCGCCACUUGGACAGCUCGGCCUCCGGCCAGGCGCACCUGGCCGUGACCAAGUGCCCCCUCUGGGACCAGGCCAAGCGGUGCCACCACGCGCUCAAGAGGCACUGCCGCCGCCAGUGCACGCCGCUCCCCCUCCUAGGCCACGCGCUCCACUCGGACCACCACCUCCUGCGCCUGCCCUAGCCCCACUCGCCGCCUCUCUCGGACCCCUAGUAGCCCCUUCGCGAGCUCCCUCGCUCCUCUCCUUCUCCUUCUCCGCUCCUCCUCCGCUUGUCCUCUAUGCUGCUCAAGUACUCCUCCGCCUUCUCCUCCUUCCUCUCGUUUCGGUCUUCCCUCCCGAACCAGCUGAAGGAGACGUGGCGGCAACCCCGGCGGCAAAGGAACCGAAAGAACGAGGAGCACCGGGAGCCGACUUGGGCUUAGGCUUGGGCUUAAGCUGGGCCUGGGCCUGGUCCUCCCAUUUCAACUAUGUAUAUACUAUAUGAAAAGAAAAGAUGAUUAUUAAUUUUACCGUCCAAUUCUUGCUUUCUUUUAAAUGUCGAAAUAGGACGAAAAGACCACUCCCUCACAAGUACUAGGUAGUCAGUUCGAAUUCCUAGGGAACUAAAUAAAGUAAUUUGCAUGCGGCAAGCUCUCUUUUUCAAUUCGGAGAAGAUAUUUAAUAAUCUUUUUCAAUUCGGAGAAGAUAUUUAAUAAUAAUUUUAUAACGACUACACAGUGAUGGUGUUUUGAGAUUUAAAAACAGAGUAACUAUAGCCCCGGGCGAGAUCGAGAUCGCCGCCGCCGAGGGCGCCUCGUGCUUGGGGUCGAGCGCGUCGAUGCGGAAGGGGGAGCCGAGGAACCAGGGGGAGGCGGCGCGGGUCUCGAGGACGCGCGAGAAGACCGGGGCGCCCCGGUGGUAGAGGUCGACGGCGGAGAUGAGGCCGCGGAGGGGCCGGGGAGGGACCCCCCGGGGCGGCGACUGCCCCUGCGCCUGCGCCUGCGCGCGGCACCGGGGGAAGGGGAACGCGUCGGAGGAGGAGGCGGAGGGAGGGCCACGUGGCGAGGCAGAGGUCGCGCCAAAUGGCGGGGUCGCCGGAGAGGCCGCGGAGGCGCGCGCUGGCGCAGCUGGCCGCGGCGAGCGAGGGCCCGUCGAGGCGGCGGAGGACGAGGGCGAGCACGUCCUCGUGGAGGUCCUCGAUGGUGGCCGCCAUCGCCAUGGCAGCGGUGCUCGAGCUCGGAUCUCACAGCAAAGGCGCUCUUCGAAGGGACCGACCAGGAAUUAAUGGCGAUGGAGAAGGAGAAGGAGAAGAGCGAGGAAGCGGUGGAAGGAGCAUUGGAAUUCAAUUUGAAAAUUGAGCCCUUCGCCUUCGGAGUUCGGACACAUAUAUUCCUAUUAUAUAUUUACAUUUACACACGAGUAAGUAAGUAUUAAGUAAUGAGAGCCCGUGGAUGGUCGAAAUUACAAAAACGCCACUCCGUUGAAUUGGGAUUUGUUCGUGACAAGUUCCCCGCGUGUCGGGCACGCCAGUUG
rnacentral:lncRNA from 1 species